UUAGGGUUUUUGAAGGAGAUACUGGAACUUCCAAGUGGGAUAUUCAUGAGUGGAGGGACGUAAACUCCAGGUGGCAGGUGUUAAAGUUGACAGGAAGCAGCUGAAAGACACAGCCUUGUGGUGCGAGCCGGGCAGCUGGACACUGUGCAUGGAGAAUCUCGAGCAGUUGUUUGCCAAAUGUAUUUGUAUCAUCUCAUUUGAUCCCAUC